UGCAGUCGAACGGUAACAGGCCGCAAGGUGCUGACGAGUGGCGAACGGGUGAGUAAUGCAUCGGAACGUGCCCAAUCGUGGGGGAUAACGCAGCGAAAGCUGUGCUAAUACCGCAUACGAUCUACGGAUGAAAGCGGGGGACCUGCAAGGGCCUCGCGCGAUUGGAGCGGCCGAUGUCAGAUUAGGUAGUUGGUGGGGUGAAGGCUCACCAAGCCAACGAUCUGUAGCUGGUCUGAGAGGACGACCAGCCACACUGGAACUGAGACACGGUCCAGACUCCUACGGGAGGCAGCAGUGGGGAAUUUUGGACAAUGGGCGCAAGCCUGAUCCAGCAAUGCCGCGUGCAGGAAGAAGGCCUUCGGGUUGUAAACUGCUUUUGUACGGAACGAAACGGUCCGGGUUAAUACCCUGGGCUAAUGACGGUACCGUAAGAAUAAGCACCGGCUAACUACGUGCCAGCAGCCGCGGUAAUACGUAGGGUGCGAGCGUUAAUCGGAAUUACUGGGCGUAAAGCGUGCGCAGGCGGUUUUGUAAGACAGUCGUGAAAUCCCCGGGCUCAACCUGGGAAUGGCGAUUGUGACUGCAAGGCUGGAGUGCGGCAGAGGGGGAUGGAAUUCCGCGUGUAGCAGUGAAAUGCGUAGGUAUGCGGAGGAACACCGAUGGCGAAGGCAAUCCCCUGGGCCUGCACUGACGCUCAUGCACGAAAGCGUGGGGAGCAAACAGGAUUAGAUACCCUGGUAGUCCACGCCCUAAACGAUGUCAACUGGUUGUUGGGUCUCUUCUGACUC
rnacentral:rRNA from 1 species